rnacentral:rRNA from 1 species
GACGAACGCUGGCGGCGUGCUUAACACAUGCAAGUCGUACGGGAACGAGGUAGCAAUACCUUUAGUAAAGUGGCGCACGGGUGCGUAACACGUAAGCAACCUGCCUUUAGGUUUGGAAUAACCCGCGAAAGCGGGACUAAUACCGGAUGAUGCAGCGGAUCCGCAUGGAUAUGUUGUUAAAGUCUAUAUGGCGCCUAAAGAUGGGCUUGCGUCCGAUUAGCUAGUUGGUAGGGUAACGGCUUACCAAGGCAACGAUCGGUAGCUGGUCUGUGAGGAUGAUCAGCCACACUGGAACUGAGACACGGUCCAGACUCCUACGGGAGGCAGCAGUGAGGAAUAUUGGGCAAUGCCCGCAAGGGUGACCCAGCAACGCCAGCGU